GAUGAACGCUGGCGGCGUGCCUAACACAUGCAAGUCGAGCGAACAGACGAGGCUUUUGCUCGUCUUACGUUAGGGGCGGACGGGUGAGUCACACGUGUAUACCUUACCUUUAAGACUGGGAUCACUACGGGAACGCUGAUCUCAUACCGGAUAAUAUAUUGAACCUCAGGGUUCUUUAGACAUAGCCGGUUUUGCUGUCACUUAUAGGGGUUUCCACGCCGCAUUAGAUAGUUGGUAGGGUAACGGCUUACCAAGGCUACGAUGCGUAGCCGACCUGAGAGGGUGAUAGGCCACACGGGAACUGAGACACGGUCAAGACGCCUACGGGAGGCAGCAGUAGGGAAUGUUCGGCAAUGGGCGAAAGCCUGACGGAGCAACGCCGCGUGAGUGGUGAAGGUCUUCGGAUCGUAAAGAACUGUUAUUAGGGAAGAACAAAUGUGUAAGUAGAUAUGGACGUCUUGACGGUACCAAAUCAGAAAGCAACGGCUAACUACGUG
rnacentral:rRNA from 1 species